GCUCAGAUUGAACGCUAGCGGGAUGCCUUACACAUGCAAGUCGAACGGCAGCACGGACUUCGGUCUGGUGGCGAGUGGCGAACGGGUGAGUAAUGUAUCGGAACGUGCCUAGUAGCGGGGGAUAACUACGCGAAAGCGUAGCUAAUACCGCAUACGCCCUACGGGGGAAAGCAGGGGAUCGUAAGACCUUGCACUAUUAGAGCGGCCGAUAUCGGAUUAGCUAGUUGGUGGGGUAAUGGCUCACCAAGGCGACGAUCCGUAGCUGGUUUGAGAGGACGACCAGCCACACUGGGACUGAGACACGGCCCAGACUCCUACGGGAGGCAGCAGUGGGGAAUUUUGGACAAUGGGGGAAACCCUGAUCCAGCCAUCCCGCGUGUGCGAUGAAGGCCUUCGGGUUGUAAAGCACUUUUGGCAGGAAAGAAACGCCGCGGGUUAAUACCCUGCGGAACUGACGGUACCUGCAGAAUAAGCACCGGCUAACUACGUGCCAGCAGCCGCGGUAAUACGUAGGGUGCAAGCGUUAAUCGGAAUUACUGGGCGUAAAGCGUGCGCAGGCGGUUCGGAAAGAAAGAUGUGAAAUCCCAGAGCUUAACUUUGGAACUGCAUUUUUAACUACCGAGCUAGAGUGUGUCAGAGGGAGGUGGAAAUUCCGCGUGUAGCAGUGAAAUGCGUAGAUAUGCGGAGGAACACCGAUGGCGAAGGCAGCCUCCUGGGAUAA
rnacentral:rRNA from 1 species